rnacentral:rRNA from 1 species
AUGGAACAUGACCUAGACAAGGCUCGAAACCUAAAACUCUCGCUCUCAGCAUUUGAGCAAAUGUCGGGUCUCAAAAUUAACUUCCAUAAAAGUGAACUUUUCUGCUUUGGAAAAGCCGUUGAGGCGGUUGCCGAUUAUGCUGACCUCUUUGGUUGCGCACAUGGCCAAUUCCUGAUUAAAUAUUUGGGAAUACCGAUCCACUAUCGGCGUCUCACCAUUGCAGAGUGGAAGCAUGUAGAGGAGCGUCUAGAGAAACGAUUGAGCAGUUGGAAAGGCAAGCUGCUCUCAGUUGGAGGAUGA